rnacentral:rRNA from 1 species
UGGGGAAUAUUGGGCAAUGGGCGAAAGCCUGACCCAGCAACGCCGCGUGAAGGAAGAAGGUUUUCGGAUUGUAAACUUCUGUCCUUGGUGACGAAGGAAGUGACGGUAGCCAAGGAGGAAGCCCCGGCUAACUACGUGCCAGCAGCCGCGGUAAUACGUAGGGGGCGAGCGUUGUCCGGAAUGACUGGGCGUAAAGGGCGUGUAGGCGGCCUGAUAAGUAUGGAGUGAAAGUCCUGCUUUCAAGGUGGGAAUUGCUUUGUAGACUGUUAGGCUUGAGUGCGGAAGAGGUAAGUGGAAUUCCCAGUUUAGCGGUGAAAUGCGUAGAGAUUGGGAGGAACACCAGUGGCGAAGGCGACUUACUGGGCCGUAACUGACGCUGAGGCGCGAAAGCGUGGGGAGCGAACAGGAUUAGAUACCCUGGUA